CCUGUUUCCGUCAAUUACCCCUUCGAAACUAAGAGAUAAUACGAGACAGUAAGCUGCGCAGAAUUCACGUAUUGACAACUUUGGCGAGUUUUGGACAAUUUCGGGUAAGGUUUAAAGGAAGACGAGAUGAAUGGGAUAAAAAGUAACCCGUAACAGGGGGGCUGCGUUUCAUGCCCGCAGGUACAUAUGUUCAUUUUGGAAGUCCGCCGGCUUAGGGUUUCCACUCAGCAAUGUUGGGGGCGCUCUACUAUUCCGGAGCCUAACUUUUGAUGCUGGUCAUUUGAUAUGUAUAUAUUUAUUUGUCCAGGGGUACGGCGGGGGCCCUGUCCCGCCAUAUGUUACUGUUACCAUUCUUAGAGGUCUGUAGACAUAUGUGUAUGUGGGUUAUUUGUAAGUUUGUUUCAGUUGUGCUCAUCCAACGUAUUGCAAAUGUUUUCGUGGUAUGGCAGCCUCGUCGG